rnacentral:tRNA from 1 species
GGGCUAUUAGCUCAGCUGGAUAGAGCGCCGGUCUCCGGAACCGGAGGUCCCAGGUUCGAAGCCUGGCUAGCUCACCA